rnacentral:rRNA from 1 species
GACGAACGCUGGCGGCGUGCUUAACACAUGCAAGUCGAACGGAAAGGCCCUGCUUGCAGGGUACUCGAGUGGCGAACGGGUGAGUAACACGUGGGUGAUCUGCCCUGCACUUCGGGAUAAGCCUGGGAAACUGGGUCUAAUACCGGAUAGGAGCCAUUUUUAGUGUGAUGGUUGGAAAGUUUUUUCGGUGUAGGAUGAGCUCGCGGCCUAUCAGCUUGUUGGUGGGGUAAUGGCCUACCCAGGCGGCGACGGGUAGCCGGCCUGAGAGGGUGGACGGCCACAUUGGGACUGAGAUACGGCCCAGACUCCUACGGGAGGCAGCAGUGGGGAAUAGUGCACAAUGGGCGCAAGCCUGAUGCAGCGACGCCGCGUGGGGGAUGACGGCCUUCGGGUUGUAAACUCCUUUCGCUAGGGACGAAGCUUUUUGUGACGGUACCUAGAGAAGAAGCACCGGCUAACUACGUG